rnacentral:rRNA from 1 species
CAGCCGUAAACAAUGUGCGUUAGGUAUGUCGGUAACCACGUGUUACUGAUGUGCCGAAGAGAAAUCGUGAAACGCACCACCUGGGAAGUACGGUCGCAAGGAUGAAACUUAAAGGAAUUGGCGGGGGGAGCACCGCAACGGGAGGAACGUGCGGUUUAAUUGGAUUCAACACCGGAAACUCACCAGCAGCGACUGUUACAUGAAAGUCAGGCCGAUGACCUUACUAGAUUUUCAGAGAGGUGGUGCAUGGCGUCAGUGACU